rnacentral:rRNA from 1 species
CACCGGCGGCUCGAGUGGUGGCCACUUUCAUUGGGUCUAAAGCGUCCGUAGCCGGCUUGGCAAGUCCCCUGGGAAAUCUGGCGGCUUAACCGUCAGGCGUCCAGAGGAUACUGCCAGGCUUGGGACCGGGAGAGGUGAGAGGUACCUCAGGGGUAGGGGUGAAAUCUUGUGAUCCCUGAGGGACCACCAGUGGCGAAGGCGUCUCACUAGAACGGGUCCGACGGUCAGGGACGAAAGCUGGGGGCACGAACCGG